GGGCUCACACAAGCGGUGGAGGAUGUGGCUUAAUUCGAGGCUACGCGAAGAACCUUAUCCUAGUCUUGACAUGCUUAAGAACCUGGCUGAAAGGUUGGGGUGCCCGCAAGGGAGCUUUUGCACAGGUGCUGCAUGGCUGUCGUCAGCUCGUGUCGUGAGAUGUCGGGUUAAGUCCCUUAACGAGCGAAACCCCUAUCUCUAGUUGCCAGCGCGUUAUGGCGGGGACUCUAGAGAGACUGCCGGUGUUAAACCGGAGGAAGGUGGGGAUGACGUCAAGUCCUCAUGGCCUUUAUGACUAGGGCUGCACACGUCCUACAAUGCAACAUACAAAGGGAACCAAAAUCGCGAGAUCGAGGAAAUCUCAAAAAGUGUUGCUCAGUUCGGAUUGCAGGCUGCAACUCGCCUGCAUGAAGCUGGAAUCGCUAGUAAUCGCGGGUCAGCAUACCGCGGUGAAUGUGUUCCUGAGCCUU
rnacentral:rRNA from 1 species